rnacentral:rRNA from 1 species
UACAUAGGGGGCAAGCGUUAUCCGGAUUUACUGGGUGUAAAGGGAGCGUAGACGGCGAUGCGAGCCAGAUGUGAAAGCCCGGGGCUCAACCCCGGGACUGCAUUUGGAACUGUAUAGCUAGAGUGUCGGAGAGGCAGGCGGAAUUCCUAGUGUAGCGGUGAAAUGCGUAGAUAUUAGGAGGAACACCAGUGGCGAAGGCGGCCUGCUGGACGAUGACUGACGUUGAGGCUCGAAAGCGUGGGGAGCAAACAGG